AAAAGAGAUAUGUACAGAUUGUGACCAUCAAUAGCUGUGAAGCUAAUCCGUGUGUGCAAAAAUGGGUUUAAAUAUGUUACAUGACGAUUGUGUUGUGGUCGCUGCCCAAUAGGUAAAAACAAAAUAACAAUGCAUGUGAUGGGAAAAUGUUGUUUAGUGUUGAGUACUGUUAUGUUUUUGCUACAGUCAUAAGUCACCCCAUGCAAUCAGUUUGCUGCCCAUUCUGUUUUUGUCGUACUCCUACUCCAAUAAAUUAUGAAUUUAAGUUCAUAUAUGGUGGUCAUGUUUUUCAGUUAUGUAAUUUUAUUAAGUUCAGGUGUCAGAUAUACUCUAGAAAUCUGAACUACAUGUUUGCCUAUCCAAUUUAAUGGAUGAUGAAGUUCUGGUGAUGACUGCAAACCGGUGUCAGCAUGGACUUGUGUGGUGUCUGAGCGUAUGCGAGCAGGAGCUUGUGUGGUGUGUCACGUGUGUAUCAUAAACAUCCUCUAUACCAUUCUCUCUUGUACUAUUUUUAUAUAGACUCGCGUACUGGUGUUUGGUUUGAGUUUGUGUCUAAGUGUCUGAUUAGUCUAAUUCAAUGUUCAAGGACUUCAUCAUUUUGUGUAUAGAAAUUAGAGACUAUGGUACUCUCUUCUCAAGGCAAUCACAUAUUCAUUCUUUUCAUUUCCCUGAUAUCAUAUGCACAAUGGACCAUCCAUUAUCAUAUAUAUAUAUAUAUAUAUGCCCAUUCAUGAUUUACAAAGAAAUCAUGGAAAAAAAUUGGUUUUGGUUUUGGUUUUGGUUUUGGUUUUGAUUUUGAGAGAGCAAUCUUUUUAAGAGCCUACCUGUGAAUCAUCUCCUUCCUCCUCUUUAAUCCUUUAGGGACUUCUAUAUCUGUCUGAGAAAAGGCCAUGGAAAAAUCUUUUUGUUUUACUUGAUUAUUCUACUCCCUUCCCUUGCAAUUCUCUCUCUUUGAGGAAACUGCAUAACAAUGCUUGAGCAAUAUUGUAUAAUGGCAUGGUAUAAGAGUAGGGUAAUAAUAAAAUCUAUGUAAAAUAAUUUGAAAAACUGGUACUCAUUCAUUUCAAACCAAUACAUCUUUAUUUGUUAUUUCAAAAUGUUACUACCAUUUGCCAAUCAUUUUUUUUUCCUAGUAUAUGGUAACAGGGAAAGGAAAAAGAAGGGAAAAAAAAAAGAAAAGGAAAGAAAAAAAAAUUGUAAUUCAAAUCUCCUCCUUCAAAACACCACCAGUCAUCUUUUGCUAUUCACGUGCAGUGGAUACAAUGUGAGAAAGGAAGGAUAUGUUGUUACUUGGUUUGUUUGUUCUCAUGUGAGUUGUAUAUCCUUACUGGUUUUGUUCUCUUAUAUUUUGCCUACAUGUACUCAGUGUUGUGCCCUUGCAGGCUCUUCUUUCAUGAAAUUGUUAGUAUUAUGGGACCAGCUUAUUCUCUCUCUCUCUCUCUCUCUCUCUCUCUCUCUCUCUCUCACACACACACACACACACACACACACACACACACACACACACACACACAUUGUUAUGCAGUUAAUUCUUGUGUUUUGCAUUGAAUGACAGCCCUAUAAAUAGGAUUCUCAGUUGCAGAUCUUUCAUCAAAACUGAAUGUAGUUCUUAAUUUUGUUCAUUUACCGAGGAGUCAGUCCUAGUCCUGGUAAUGGUAGCUAAAGUGAACUGGAGGAGCAAUUAAGAGGCAGUGGUGAUGAUAUUGCGGCUGCUGAUUAUACUGAUGCACUGAAGCCUUCUGUCAUUGCACUGCCUCUACAUGGAUCAGAAGCAGCAAAAGCACAAUUUUCACGUGAUUGCAGUGAUCUCCUUGCUCUUGUCCGGGAUUAUGAGGGUUGAAAAGAAGCUAAAAGAGAUGUAGCUGGAUAUGAAUAUUACUGGAAGAAUUUUAUUUCUGCUCAAUCAAUGAAAGCUAUUGAUGCUCUGUGAAGGGAGUUCUACUCUUCACUUAAGGAAUAUAUUUUAAAUUUUAAUACUA